GUGGCUCAGCGGUAGAGCAUCGCCUUGCCAAGGCGAGGGUCGCGGGUUCGAUUCCCGUC
rnacentral:tRNA from 1 species